rnacentral:misc_RNA from 1 species
AGAAAAGUUCACCUAAUACUCACAGAUUUUUUUGGAUAAAAACUAAUACUCACAGAUUGAAAAAGUGUGUCCCACAUUCUCUCACCUAAUAUGAGAAUCAAGAGGAAGAAACACUGGAUCUGGAACAACCAAUGGCAACUUAUCAAUGUAUGCAAAUAGUCUCUUGCGGUUGUCCUGCAAAAUCGAAGUUAGAUCAAUUAUUUCACUCUUAUCUGUGAAGAUCCAAAGGUCGCCAGAGUUGACUCUCUUGAGGCUAUCUCGACAGAAGGGACACGACUGAGAACGACCGCGCCAGUCUCGAUAACACUUCAAGCACAAAGAAUGGUUGCAGUUGGGCAAAACAACCAUGCCGUUAAACUCCAUGCAAAUUCCACACUCCUUCUCUCUUUCUAUGUCAAUUUCGGACAGUUUCCCCCUUCCAAAUUCAUCCCUUCUGUUGUACCUGGCACUGCAGACCUCUUUUUGCUUUCUAUCUUCCAAUUCUGUGAUGCCUUUCUGAAGUUGCAGAAGAGAAGGGAAGAUUACCACAUAAAAUUCUCUAAUGCUUGCUUUUCGCUCAAAAAUGGACAUGGUGGUCUUUCCAUCUGGAUAAGUCACAUAGAUAAGGAUUCUUAACAGCCCCAAUGCACCAGCAAGGUAACAAUCAGUCCACUGAACAAGAAAAAGGAAAAAGGGAGCAGCAGGGCUGUAUGAUAAUCUCAUUUGAACACAAGCUCCAUCACUCUCUCUUGGAGAGUCUAAAGCAAGAGUAUUGGCAUGCUGAACAUCGGCUUCCAGCGCUUUAAGCGAAUCCUUGAAGGAAAGCUUUCCCAUGGCGUCGUAUUUUCCCGGAAAAAAACAGAGUUUCAAUCCAACAAAAAAAAA